UUAAUAGCCGCACAAUGGACUAGCAGAUAAUCAACUAUCUCUGAUUCUUCAUAUGCAUGAAUAUUUUAUUUGAUAUAUUUUUCUAAUUUACUUGACAAAUUUGUAUAUUUGACGGAUGAGACGUAUGAUCAAAAUCUAAAAGUAGAUAUUACUUUAUUUCUUGAAUAAGAUAAAUUACAUCAUAGAUGACAUAUAAUAUCCUAUCAAAUCAUAGAUACCAAUACAUUUCAAAAUAUAAAAAUAAUCAAAUUCAUUUCUUACAAUCACACCUAAAAAUUUUGAUACCGAAUUCAUUUUUCUUAAAAAAUUUAUUUCAACUUCCAAACAGAAUUAAAUAAUAAUAAUUAUAAAAUAAUAUAACAAUGAAAUGACUUGCUAUCACUAUU
rnacentral:lncRNA from 1 species